rnacentral:rRNA from 1 species
GUGGGGAAUCUUGCGCAAUGGGCGAAAGCCUGACGCAGCCAUGCCGCGUGAAUGAUGAAGGUCUUAGGAUUGUAAAAUUCUUUCACCGGGGACGAUAAUGACGGUACCCGGAGAAGAAGCCCCGGCUAACUUCGUGCCAGCAGCCGCGGUAAUACGAAGGGGGCUAGCGUUGCUCGGAAUUACUGGGCGUAAAGGGAGCGUAGGCGGACAGUUUAGUCAGAGGUGAAAGCCCAGGGCUCAACCUUGGAAUUGCCUUUGAUACUGGCUGUCUUGAGUUUGGGAGAGGUGUGUGGAACUCCGAGUGUAGAGGUGAAAUUCGUAGAUAUUCGGAAGAACACCAGUGGCGAAGGCGACACACUGGCCCAAUACUGACGCUGAGGCUCGAAAGCGUGGGGAGCAAACAGGAUUAGAUACCCUAGUAGUCC